UAGGGAAUCUUCGGCAAUGGGGGCAACCCUGACCGAGCAACGCCGCGUGAGUGAAGAAGGUUUUCGGAUCGUAAAGCUCUGUUGUAAGAGAAGAACGUGUGUGAGAGUGGAAAGUUCACACAGUGACGGUAACUUACCAGAAAGGGACGGCUAACUACGUGCCAGCAGCCGCGGUAAUACGUAGGUCCCGAGCGUUGUCCGGAUUUAUUGGGCGUAAAGCGAGCGCAGGCGGUUUAAUAAGUCUGAAGUUAAAGGCAGUGGCUUAACCAUUGUUCGCUAUGGAAACUGUGAAACUUGAGUGCAGAAGGGGGGGGUAGAAUUCCAAGUGUAACAGUGAAAUGCGUGGAUAUAUGGAGGAACACCGGUGGCGAAAGCGGCUCGCUGGUCUGUAACUGACGCUGAGGCUCGAAAGAGUGGGGAGCAAACAGG
rnacentral:rRNA from 1 species